GAAAGCCGUAUGCUUUGGAAGAAGCUUGUACAGUUUGGGAAGGGGUUUUUUGAGAGAAAAGAAGACUCUACUUCAAC
rnacentral:ncRNA from 1 species